AUGCACUGGCAGGGUUACCUGUGGUCUCAGAAAAUUCCAAAUCUCCCAAGGUCUCCUAAUCCUGUCUGGCUUGUUGUGAUGAUAAUUAAUGGUGAAGAAGAAGGAGGGAGAAGAGAAACAGGAGGAGGAAGAAAAGAAGGAGAGGGAGGAGAAGAGGAGGAGAACAAGAAGGGCAGCAACAGCUUAGAAGACUCCAUGACAGACUCUGACUCCAAAUCUACCCAUGUCAUUGUGCACAGGAUAAUAAAAGAGGAAGAAUUCUCAGCUCUAAUUCUCAUUUGCAGAAACAUAACAUCCCUACUCAUGUUGUUUCACAUCAACGUCCUGUUUGUGCUGGUGUCAGCCCCAAAUGACUUCCACUUCGCCUAAGUGGCCAGCGCUUCUCAAUCUUCAGGUUCUAGCUCAAGCAUCUUCCCUGUGAAGAAUUACUUCAUGACCCAAGAAAGCUGACAAUGUCAACUUAGCCUCCUCACUCUGUGUUAUAUACAUCAAUAAAACAGCAUUUUCCCCACUGAACUUAAAAAUG
rnacentral:lncRNA from 12 species